GUGCUCGCUUCCACAGCACAUAUACUAAAAUUGGAACGAUACAGAGAAGAUUAGCAUGACCCCUGUGCAAGGAUGACAUACGAAUUUGUCAAGUGUUCCACAUUUUU